AUAUCAACAAGAUUGUUACAAAUUGUUAACAGCUUGUUCCAAACUUGUUGACAACUUGGGACAAGCAGUGCGAACACAACUUGUUGGCAGACUUGCUACAAGAUGUGAGAUUUUUACGCGUGUAGUCGAAAGCUUACUAAGGGCUCCUCUGGCAGCCACCUUAUGACUAAUGUCUGAUCACGGAGCACAGCUACGGCGGAAGGG